rnacentral:rRNA from 1 species
CACAUGCAAGUCGAGCGCCCCGCAAGGGGAGCGGCGGACGGGUUGGUAACGCGUGGGAAUGUACCCUUUUCUACGGAAUAGCCUCGGGAAACUGAGAUUAAUACCGUAUACGCCCUUCGGGGGAAAGAUUUAUCGGAGAAGGACCAGCCCGCGUAAGAUUAGAUAGUUGGUGGGGUAAUGGCCUACCAAGUCUACGAUCUUUAGCUGGUUUGAGAGGAUGAUCAGCAACACUGGGACUGAGACACGGCCCAG